rnacentral:rRNA from 1 species
CCUACGGGACGCACCAGUGGGGAAUAUUGGACAAUGGGCGAAAGCCUGAUCCAGCAAUGCCGCGUGAGUGAAGAAGGUCUUCGGAUUGUAAAGCACUUUCGACGGGGACGAUGAUGGCGGUACCCGUAGAAGAAGCCCCGGCUAACUUCGUGCCAGCAGCCGCGGUAUACGAAGGGGGCUAGCGUUGCUCGGAAUGACUGGGCGUAAAGGGCGCGUAGGCGGUUUAUGCAGUCAGAUGUGAAAUCCCCGGGCUUAACCUGGGAACUGCAUUUGAGACGCAUAGACUAGAGGUCGAGAGAGGGUUGUGGAAUUCCCAGUGUAGAGGUGAAAUUCGUAGAUAUUGGGAAGAACACCGGAGGCGAAGGCGGCAACCUGGCUCGAUACUGACGCUGAGGCGCGAAAGCGUGGGGAGCAAACAGGAUUAGAUACCCUUGUAGUC